rnacentral:lncRNA from 10 species
UUUAAGAAAGGGUUGUUGCUUUGACUAAAAGCAUUGCUCCACUCACUGUAAGAUCAGGGAAGUCAGAAAAUCACCAUUAUCUGAGCAGGUAGUUUCCUUGUGAAGCAAAAAAUUGCAGAAGCUGCUCCAGAGCGUAGGGCAGGAUUCCACUGGACACUUGUCAGGGAGAAAUAUGAGUCCCCAGCUGAUGGAGAACCUUUUGUCUUUUGUUGGGCAGCCUAUGAACACUGUAUAUUUAAAAACAAACACUUCUGUGAUUGCUUAGGACUAAAUUUAAUCGUUGUAUUUGAGAGUGGCAUUUAACAACUUCCUGCUUUUAAAAUACUUAAAUACCUAAGAUACUCUGCCAAAUGGAAAGAAUUUGUUCUCCGAACACAGUGCCUCCAACAUUAAAUAUUCUGGACACUUCGUUGGUUCGCAACUGUGAUACUUGGAAACUUGCCACGUUAGAUUCUUCAGGAUUCUAAAAUAACCUUUUCCUGACUUCAUUUAUUUAAAUAUCCCAGAAUAAUCUCUUAAGCUAUAAGUUUGAUGAUCCAGGAAACUAUUUAUAGGAGGAUGAGUACUCUCUGUGACUGAUGGUAGUUAUGUUUUAUUUUGAGAAGGACAAAUCAUUAAAAAGAUUGAUAGGGCUGGUGGUAUUUUAAACUGAAAGCAGUACCAAGGCAAACAAGGCAGUUGAGGUAUGAAGUUGGAACAUAAUAAGAUAUGGGUGUAAUUUUCAUCAACUUAGCUAAGACCUAGGGAGGUCUUCCAAUAGAAGGAAGGCAGAAACAGGCAGUAACACAGACAGUGAUCUUUUAGGUCCACUGGACACUUUAGCUUAGGCAGCUCGGGUUGUUUGCUCAGUGAUUAACAACUGAGAUAAACAGAUGGAGACAGGACUCUGUCAUAAUUAAGGUCAACAGUGUGCUUGGUAUUAUUGAUAUUGCCCCUAGGUAGGAGAAAAACAGAGGAAGGAAGGUCAAGGUCAACCUAACUUAAAAAAACUUUAAAAAAUUGUGGUGAAAUAUACAUAAAAUUUACCAUUUUCAUCAUUUUUAAAUGUACAAAUCUGUCACUGAUCAUGCACAUUGUUAUGCAACUACCACCAGCAUCUAUCUCCAGAACUUUCUCAUCUUCCCAAACUGAAACUCUGUAUCCCUUAACUCUCCAUUUCACUCUACUUGUGAAACCGCUUUUCUGUCUUUAUGUAGUUUAUUGUAGGUGCCUGAUACAAGUGGAAUCAUAUUAAAUUUUGAAUAUAAAAUUAAAAAUUAAAAAAAAUUAAUUUUGAUUUGUUUGGCUUUCCACUUAGCGUAUUUUCAAGGUUCAUUCAUGCUGUAGCAUUUAUCAGACU